UACGGAGGGUGCGAGCGUUGUCCGGAAUCACUGGGCGUAAAGGGCGCGUAGGCGGCCCUUCUUGUCGCGUGUGAAAGCCCCGGGCUCAACCUGGGAAUGGCGCGCGAGACGGGGGGGCUGGAGUUCGGGAGAGGAGCGUGGAAUUCCCAGUGUAGAGGUGAAAUUCGUAGAUAUUGGGAAGAACACCGGUGGCGAAGGCGGCGCUCUGGACCGAGACUGACGCUGUGGCGCGAAAGCGUGGGGAGCAAACAGG
rnacentral:rRNA from 1 species